GGACCGCUGAGUCCCCAAAGCCCACACUUGAACUCUGGACCGGGACUGCAGGCGACCGCGAUUCCAUGUGCAGGUCUCGCCCAGGAAGCGGCGGCUCGCCCCUCGCCAGUGAGUGAGGGGCGCCUGCUCUGCUCUGCGUGGUGACCACGCUGCUCUCCGGACCACUUCUCAGGUAGGAGAGAACUCAACCUGUACUUCAUCGACACAGAUGUGCCCAGAACUGAGCCAGCAGGCAAGUCUUCCACUUAAAAGCAUGUUUAGCUGGAAGCCAGAGCCUGCUGUACACAUCAGGAAUCCACACAAG
rnacentral:lncRNA from 1 species